CUUAUCCCUUCUCUCUGAUUAUACACGCACACACAGACAAGAUACAAAUUAAGUUUCUUUGAAAAGUUCAUGAAGAUUUACAACAAACACAGCCAAACAACAGAAGCUCUCACUCUCUCCCUCUCGAUCUCAUCACCGGCGCCGACUGUCGACGGUGUUCCGGCCAGGUGACACAUUCGAACACCGACACCCCCAUAACCAUCAUACCCUCAUCUCCCUCUCUUGAAGACCGGCCGACCACCAUCGCGCAGUGGCGGUGCACAACGACGACGUUCAGCUCCUGUGGUGGAGGGGGUGGGGUUCUGCAACAUCAACGGCAGCCGCACACCGGCGACUAGGGGUGGUUAUGGAUCCGUUGUCCGACGGCUAGAAAGGAGUGCAGGUAGAAGACGGUAACAGUGGCGGUUUUAGGGCCCGAGACAGCGGUAACAGUGGUGGUUACAGGUGUUCGACUCAGCUCCGGCGGCUGUGGGUCAUCUCGGUCAGGUUCAGCUUGUUUUCGGUUCAGCUCAAGGAGGUUAGUUCAAGUUUGGGUUAGUUUACUCCGAUUUCGGGUUGGAUUUUGGUCUUGAUUCUACUCAGAUACAGAAUUUGUGAAGUGAAGGUGCUGUUGGUUUGAGUUCACAGAAAAAAAAAACCAGUAUGUUCUUGGUUCGUUCAGCCGUAGUCGAAUCAGUCAGCCAACAAAAGUCAAACCCGGUUGACUCGGUCAACAUCCGAGUCAACUCAGGUCAACAGCGGUCAAACGGGUCAACGACAGUCAACUGCAGGCCCGGAAUACUAUAGAUGCACGCUAGCUAAUUCAUGUUCUUGGAACGGCACUACGGAAUCA
rnacentral:lncRNA from 1 species